CCAGUUCGAGCUUCCCGGCUGCUUUGGUUACCUAAUCAAGCCUGGGCAAUGGCAGGCGCCCCUCCCCCAGCCUCGCUGCCGCCUUGCAGUUUGAUCUCAGACUGCUGUGCUAGCAAUCAGCGAGACUCCGUGGGCGUAGGACCCUCCGAGCCAGCUGGAAAAGAAGUGCCUGCUCUCAACUCAAGAACCAAUGGCAUCAUCAGUGGAAUUCAAAGGAAGUCCCAUGAUUCUAAAUGAUUCUCAUCUUGGUAUUUAAAGUAUUGCAUGUCAAACUUUAGGUAAGUUAACAGUGAUUUAUAAAAUGCAGUUCCCUCUGAGUUGAUUAAUGUCUCAGGUUACGCUUUCCGAUUUUCAAAAAUAGAAAGACAUCUUCUUUGUACAGCAAAUGCCCUAUGCUCCUACAAAAGGGAAGCAUUUAUACCACUUUUAUUAGCAUUUUCAAACAAGAAAGAGGUCUUGCUGGGGAAGAAACCAUGAACUGUUCAAUGAUCUGCAUUGCUGUGUGGUAUGGAACGCUCCCUCAAUAUCCCAUAAAAGGUGGUCAGCUCU
rnacentral:lncRNA from 10 species